GACGAACGCUGGCGGCGUGCUUAAUACAUGCAAGUCGAACGGAAAGACCCUGCUCUUGUGGGGUGCUCGAGUGGCGAACGCGUGAGUAACACGCGAGUAACCUCCCCUUGACAUUGGGAUAACUCCUGGAAAAUGCGGCGAUAACCGGGUAGGAGCUACUGAUGCGUGGGGGGGGAUGGAAAGUGGCGGCGGUGGGGGCUGGACUCGAGGGUUAUGCGCUGGUUGGUGGGGUAGGUGCGUUCAAAGGCUUUGACGGGUAGCCGGCCUGGGAGGGGGACCGGCGACAGUGGGACUGAGAGACGGCCCAGACUCCUACGGGAGGCAGUGGUGGAGAAUAUUGCACAACGGGCGGAAGCCUGAGGCAGCAACGCCGGGUGCGGGAUGCCGGCCUUCGGGUUGUAAACCGCUUUCGACUGUGACGAAGCGUGAGUGACGGUAAUGGGUAAAGAAGCACCGGCUAACUACGUG
rnacentral:rRNA from 1 species